rnacentral:rRNA from 1 species
UACGUAGGGACCGAGCGUUGUCCGGAUUCAUUGGGCGUAAAGAGCUCGUAGGCGGCCACUCAAGUCGAAUGUGAAACCUCGAGGCUCAACCUCGAGCCUGCAUUCGAUACUGGGCGGCUAGAGUCUGGUAGGGGGAUCUGGAAUUCCUGGUGUAGCGGUGGAAUGCGCAGAUAUCAGGAGGAACACCAGAGGCGAAGGCGGGUUACUGGGCUGAUACUGACGCUGAUGCGCGAAAGCUAGGGGAGCAAACGGG